AUCAGAAUUAAACCUCCCAGAUCCCUGUUUGCCAGGAGAGGGGGGACACUGCCCUCCCCGGCAGUGGCUCUGGGGACACACAGGGACGUGGUGGCAGCGGCGCUGCCUGUGGGCACGCAGGUGGAUGCCUCGGCUUGGAGGGGGGACCUGGCCUCUGCCUCUGCUCCCCUGGUGGGUUUGGGGGGCUUGAUAUUCCCCGGACACGGGGCUUGUGACAACUGCUGGCGGUUUCCUCUGCAGGACACAGUCAGCGUCACACGGUCACUGCUGGGGACAGGACCCGCAGGGACAAACCCGGCUGUGCAGCGCGGCCACCGGCUCUCCCACCUGCUGCCCGAGCUGGAGGCUUCGGGCUCUGACAUCGGGGGUCAGCCCCGGCUGCUUGCAGGGGCUCGGGGCGCACGGCCGAGGGCAGGAUUUGUGCCUCCAGCACCGUGCCUGGCACCAGGACGGGGGCAGCUUUUUGCUGCUUUCUUCCCGGCAGCACUGAGGGAGCCCAGCCCCAUCCCAGGCCCCCCAAACCGCAGGGAUGCUCUUCGUGGUCAAGCAGAGAGGUGCCCCCACAUCCCUGCCCUGCAGCAGGGGAAAGCUCCGGGCUCUUUCCCCUCUCCCCAGGGUCAGCUCCAGGCCAGUCCCUUCCUCCUGCAGGAGCUGCCCCUUCUCUGGGUCUCUCCAGGCUCUGCUCUGCCUCCGGGGGGGGGGGGGGGGGGAAAGGCCCCUUGGGGGUUUGGGUUUUUUUCCCCCCCCCCCCGGGCUCCUGGGCCAGGGCCCCUUUCGNNNNNNNNNNNNNNNNNNNNNNNNNNNNNNNNNNNNNNNNNNNNNNNNNNNNNNNNNNNNNNNNNNNNNNNNNNNNNNNNGGGGGGGGGGGGGGGGCAAGGCUCCUUGGGGGUCUGUGGUUUUCUGCUCCACAGCCCGGGCUACUGGGCACAGGCCACUUUGCAGGGAAUCGUCUUUUCAGCUCCACGCGAACGGGAGCUGGAAGGAGAAGGUCUCGGUGGUUUUUCCAUUGCGCCUGCCAGGUGGAGACAACUUGGGCUUUUUGGAGCGCAAAGUUGUACUUGGGCAUUCGUCUGCGUGCAGGCAGAUAAAGGCGAUGGAGUUAGCGUUACAGCCGGCCCCGGGUGCCAGGUAACCGCGGGUGCAGGCACGGAGCAGAGAGGCCCCCUUCUUUCUUCCCGGGGCUCGGCACUCGCCCCCCGUGGCUGGGUGCCACGCAGCCUCUCGCAGGCAGCAGGAGGGAUGCUCUGCAGCACUGCCCCGCUUCGGGGAAAAGCACAGAGGGAAGGGGAGCCGGGCUGUGGGUCCCCGCAGCCUGGGGCUGGCAGGGUGCACGAGGUCCCAGGCUCCUGCCCGGAUGCUGAGAGCAGCCCCGGCUUCUCCCAGGGGAGCCCAAGGCGGGGAAGGAGCCGGGGCACGGGGCUGGGGGCACUGCAUGGGGAGGAAGGGCUGCAAGCUGCUGGCUGUGAGCCCCCCUGCAGCCAUGGGACGAGGGGAUGCAGCCGGCUGCGGCUCUGCCAGCCCCGUGCUGGAGCAUCCCAGCGUGGCCACGAGUGCCACAGCACGGCCGGGUCCUGCCGCCGCGCUCCGCCAGGCUUCCACCGGCGUGGUUUUCAUUAG
ensembl:lncRNA